rnacentral:rRNA from 1 species
AGAGUUUGAUCCUGGCUCAGAACGAACGCUGGCGGUAUGCUUAACACAUGCAAGUCGAACGCGAAAGUUCCUUCGGGAACCGGUAGAGUGGCGCACGGGUGAGUAACGCGUAGAUAAUCUACCCCUUAGUCUGGGACAACCUUCCGAAAGGAGGGCUAAUACUGGAUAAUACCUUUUGUCGAGUGGCUUUAGGUUAAAAGAAUUUCGCUAGGGGAUGAGUCUGCGUAACAUUAGCUUGUUGGGUGAGGUAAGGGCUCACCAAGGCUUCGAUGUUUAGCGGGUCUGAGAGGAUGAUCCGCCACACUGGAACUGAGACACGGUCCAGACUCCUACGGGAGGCAGCAGUGGGGAAUUUUGCGCAAUGGACGAAAGUCUGACGCAGCAAUACCGCGUGAGUGAAGAAGGCCCUUGGGUCGUAAAGCUCUUUGUUUAGGGGAAGAUAAUGACGGUACCCUUGAAUAAGCACCGGCGAACUCCGUGCCAGCAGCCGCGGUAAUACGGAGGGUGCAAGCGUUGUUCGGAUUUACUGGGCGUAAAGGGCGCGUAGGCGGCAAAGCAAGUUAAGGGUGAAAUCCCGAGGCUCAACCUCGGAACUGCUCUUAAAACUGCUUAGCUAGAGACAAUCAGAGGUGGGUGGAAUUCCUGGUGUAGAGGUGAAAUUCGUAGAUAUCAGGAGGAACACCGGCGGCGAAGGCGGCCCACUGGGGUUGAUCUGACGCUAAGGCGCGAAAGCGUGGGGAGCAAACGGGAUUAGAUACCCCGGUAGUCCACGCCGUAAACGAUGAAUACCAGCUGUUUGGACAUUCGACCGUUCAAGUGGCGCAGCUAACGCGUUGAGUAUUCCGCCUGGGGAGUACGGUCGCAAGACUAAAACUCAAAGGAAUUGACGGGGGCCCGCACAAGCGGUGGAGCAUGUGGUUUAAUUCGACGCAACGCGAAGAACCUUACCUGGGUUUGACAUCCCCGGACCGCUACAGAGAUGUAGUUUUCUCUUCGGAGACCGGGUGACAGGUGCUGCAUGGCUGUCGUCAGCUCGUGUCGUGAGAUGUUGGGUUAAGUCCCGCAACGAGCGCAACCCUUGUCCUUAGUUGCCAGCAGUAAUGGUGGGAACUCUAAGGAGACUGCCGGUGUUAAGCCGGAGGAAGGUGGGGAUGACGUCAAGUCCUCAUGGCCUUUAUAUCCAGGGCUACACACGUGCUACAAUGGCACCUACAAAGAGCAGCGAGACCGCGAGGUGGAGCGAAUCUCAAAAAAGGUGUCUCAGUUCGGAUUACAGUCUGCAACUCGGCUGUAUGAAGUUGGAAUCGCUAGUAAUCGUAGAUCAGCGUGCUACGGUGAAUACGUUCCCGGGCCUUGUACACACCGCCCGUCACACCAUGGGAGUUGACAUUGGCAGAAUACAUUGGGCUAACCUUCGGGAAGCAGGUGUGCAAGCUAGUGUUGAUGACUGGGGUGAAGUCGUAACAAGGUAGCAGUAGGAGAACCUGCGGCUGGAUCACCUCCUU